GACGAACGCUGGCGGCGUGCUUAACACAUGCAAGUCGAACGGAAAGGCCCCCACUUUUUUGGUGGGGGUGCUCGAGUGGCGAACGGGUGAGUAACACGUGGGUGAUCUGCCCUGUACUUCGGGAUAAGCUUGGGAAACUGGGUCUAAUACCGGAUAGGACCAUGGUUUAGUGUCUCAUGGUGGAAAAAUUAUUGUUUUGGUGCAGGAUGAGCUCGCGGCCUAUCAGCUUGUUGGUGGGGUAAUGGCCUACCAAGGCGUCGACGGGUAGCCGGCCUGAGAGGGUGGACGGCCACAUUGGGACUGAGAUACGGCCCAGCCUCCUACGGGAGGCAGCAGUGGGGAAUAUUGCACAAUGGGAGCAAGCCUGAUGCAGCGGCGCCGCGUGGGGGAUGACGGCCUUCGGGUUGUAAACUCCUUUCGUUAGGGACGAAGCCGCACCUUUUUUGGGUGUGGUGACGGUACCUUUGUUAAGAAGCACCGGCUAACUACGUG
rnacentral:rRNA from 1 species